ACACUGCCACAAGCCCACAACUGCUGCAAGCCCAAGCAAAAAUAGCAUGGCUCAAAACCAACAAUCCACACCGGCCCUCACACCGACGACGACGACGACCCCCGGCGCAGAGCUCCUGCAAGCCCAGGCAGAGCUUUGGUGCCACAUGUUCGGCUACCUCAAACCCAUGGCGCUGCAGUGCGCCAUCAAGCUCGGAAUCCCCAACACCAUCAGCCGCCAUGGCGGCGCCGCCUCUCUCUCCGAGCUCUGUGCUGCUCUUCCAGUUGCCCCAAGCAAACGCACAUGCUUGUCUCGCCUCAUGAGGUUACUGGCCACCAUGGGAAUAUUCAGAGAGGAAAAGAAGACGACGACGCAGGGUGGGGAAGAAGAUCAAGAAGGCUCGUAUACGUACCACCUCACCGCGGUUUCUCACCUCCUCGUCGACGACGACGACGGUGGCCAUCCAUGCUUAUCUGCGUUCAUGGCCUUUGCCGCGCCGUUCAAUGUCGUAGCAUCGCUACGCCUAGCUGAUUGGUUCGAGAACGACGGCGGCGCGGCGGCGGCGGCGGAGACUCCGUUCAUGAUGGCGCACGGCACCAGCUUCUGGGGCGUGGCCGGCCGCGACGCGAAGUUCGCCGCGGAUUUCUACGCGUCGAUGAGGGCUGACAGCAGGUUCGUGGCGCAGAUCAUCGUCAGCGAGUGCAGGGAGGUGUUCGCCGGCGUGAAUUCUCUGGUGGACGUGGGCGGCGGGGACGGGACGAUGGCGAAGGCCAUUGCCAAGGCAUUCCCGCAUGUGAGGUGCUCGGUGUUGGACCUUCCCCAGGUCGUGGAUGGCAAUGGCAUGCUGGGAGGAGAAGGAGAAGGCACGGUUGAGUUCAUCGCAGGUGACAUGAUGGUUUUCAUCCCUCCAGCUGAUGCUGUUUUACUCAAGUUUAUUUUCCAUGACUGGGGUGAUGAAGACUGUGUCAGAAUUUUGAAGCAAUGCAAAGAAGCUAUUUCUACCCGGGAGCCAAAAGGGAAGGUGAUAAUCAUUGAUACGGUAAUAGGCUCGGCGUCCAAACGGAUAUUUGAAGAAGCUCAACUUUUGAUGGACCUAAAUAUGAUGGUGCUAGUGCCGGGCAAAGAGAGAGACGAGAAAAAGUGGAGUAAGAUGUUUAUUGAUGCAGGGUUUACUAAAUACAAGAUCUGUCCGAUCUUAGAGCCCCGUUCACUCAUUGAGGUCUAUCUAUAGAUCAAGAGUCCACGAGAUCACAGCCAAACCUAUGGCGGAGUCAACAAAAGGGACAGAGCGAGAAACAUGUUAAAUCUGGAUUGAAGUUGAUGACUUCAUCAAUCUCAAGAUAUGACGGUCUAAUCUUAGCCUUUUUGGUUGUGCUCAUAAGAGUAGGAUGAGUGCGUGUUUAUAGGAAUGGGUGUAAUUUUAUAGAGGUGAGUGUCGUGCAUGCAUGUAUAAGUGCCUGUAGAAGUCUUCGAAUUUUAUCAUGUGUUUAUCUUUAAGGAGUUCUUUGACAUAUUGUUCGAAUUUUUUUUAUCUUUU